rnacentral:rRNA from 1 species
AUUGAACGCUGGCGGCAGGCCUAACACAUGCAAGUCGAGCGGAUGAGUGGAGCUUGCUCCAUGAUUCAGCGGCGGACGGGUGAGUAAUGCCUAGGAAUCUGCCUGGUAGUGGGGGACAACGUUUCGAAAGGAACGCUAAUACCGCAUACGUCCUACGGGAGAAAGUGGGGGAUCUUCGGACCUCACGCUAUCAGAUGAGCCUAGGUCGGAUUAGCUAGUUGGUGAGGUAAGGGCUCACCAAGGCGACGAUCCGUAACUGGUCUGAGAGGAUGGUCAGUCACACUGGAACGGAGACACGGUCCAGACUCGUACGGGAGGCAGCAGUGGGGAAUAUUGGACAAUGGGCGAAAGCCUGUGCCAGCCAGGCCGCGUGUGUGAAGAAGGUCUUCGGAUUGUAAAGCACUUUAAGUUGGGAGGAAGGGCAGUAAGUUAAUACCUUGCUGUUUUGACGUUACCAACAGAAUAAGCACCGGCUAACUUCGUGCCAGCCGCCGCAGUAAGAC